AUUUGGUAAAAUAGAAAUUUAUAAUUUGUUCUAUUCUAUUAAAAAAUAUAAGGAAAACUUCAAAUACCCAUCUUAUUAUUUCACUCUUUCUCAUUUUAGUACCCUGUGGUGUAAAGUGUAUCAUAUUAGUACCCUGUAGUUUCGCACUUUCUCACUUUAGUACCCUGUGAUUUCAAGUAUAUCAAGUUAGUACCCUGUGAUUUCGCACUUUCUCACUUUAGUACCCUGUGGUUUAAUAUUUCAUUAAGAGAAAAAUAAAACCACAGGGUACUAAUUUGAUACAAAAAUAAAACCACAGAGUACUAACUUGAUACACUUUAAACCACAGGGUACUAAAAUGAGAAAGUGCGAAACCACAGGAUACUAACUUGAUACACUUUAAACUGCAGAGUACUAAAAUAAAAAAGUGCGAAACCACAGGGGGGUUUUUAAAGUUUUCCCUAACUAAAAAGAUAUCAAAGAGCAAAGUAUUAAACUCUAUACUAAAGUUGAAACCAAAUGUCGUUCCUCCGUCGAGCCACAUGGUGGAUUUUCUCUCUCACCCUAACAUGUUCUCUCUCUCACAUGGACCCACAUGGGCUAUGUUCAAGUGGCUUGCAUGGACUCACAUGGGCUAUGAGUAGAAAGAGUUGGGGAGAAGAUGUAUGCAUUGUAAUAAUAAGAAAGAUAGCAAAAGUACAAAAAAUAUUCUAUGUACUAUACAAUUUUUUGUUUCAUGAAUCCUGUGUAUGAUGUUAAACAAUAUUGCUAUAUAUAGAGAAAGUUAAGAAAAAAAAGCAAGAGGGUAAGGAAUAUGCUGUGUAGUAUGAAAAAUUUUGUAAAAGAAAAGUUUAUGUUGUGCGUGAAAUACUAUUUUUAUUGGAGUUAGCAAAGUAAAAGACAAUUUACAAAUAAUUCAUAGUGUAAUUGAAAUCAAACAGGAGAUUUAGAAUAAUCAUAUUGCAAAGGAAUUUAACAGUGCGGCCACUUCUGAAAAUCAACUUAUUAUACUUGUUAAAAAUAGUGCUCAAGUGGAAAAUACUAUUGGCGAAUAUAGUCCUAUCGAAAGCCAAUCAAGGUAUGAUUAAUAAACAAGUUAAGAACUGAUUAUAAAUUAAUAUUCUGUCUGUGGGAAAAAAAAA
rnacentral:lncRNA from 1 species